CCUACGGGAUGCAGCAGUGGGGAAUAUUGCACAAUGGGCGCAAGCCUGAUGCAGCCAUGCCGCGUGUGUGAAGAAGGCCUUCGGGUUGUAAAGCACUUUCAGCGGGGAGGAAGGCGUUAAGGUUAAUAACCUUGGCGAUUGACGUUACCCGCAGAAGAAGCACCGGCUAACUCCGUGCCAGCAGCCGCGGUAAUACGGAGGGUGCAAGCGUUAAUCGGAAUUACUGGGCGUAAAGCGCACGCAGGCGGUCUGUCAAGUCGGAUGUGAAAUCCCCGGGCUCAACCUGGGAACUGCAUUCGAAACUGGCAGGCUAGAGUCUUGUAGAGGGGGGUAGAAUUCCAGGUGUAGCGGUGAAGUGCGUAGAGAUCUGGCGGAAUACCGGUGGCGAAGGCGGCCCCCUGGACAAAGACUGACGCUCAGGUGCGAAAGCGUGGGGAGCAAACAGGAUGAGAUACCCUGGUAGUC
rnacentral:rRNA from 1 species